GUCCCUGUCUAUGAGACCAGUGGGCCAGGCAGCCUCAAUGAUACCUCACUCCAUUGUAAGGUCAUAUCUAUACCCACUGGUAACAUCACAAAAGCUCCUUGGUGUCAGCCACUGCUGGCUCAGGAGAGACAGUCGCAGCUGGCUCAGAAGGACUAAGCAGCAGCAUCCCCCACCACAUCUCAAGAAAGAGGGGACAUCUCUUAGAAGCAGUCACAAGAUGGGAAAUUACAACUCCCGAAAGAAAGUUAAAACAAUAAAGCAAGAUAAGAAGGAGAAGUGCCCAGAUCAGGAGAAGGACAAGGAGAAAUGGAGACAUGUUAUCUACCUGAAAAAGAACAAGUCCACAGUCAAAGUGCUGUUGCUGCCUCCUCUUGGGAAGCUGACUCAUGGCCCCAAGACACUCUCUCUGAUUGCCCCUCCCGGAAGCAAUGUUAACAUCUUCAACAGAUCAGAACUAGGAAGCUAUAGAUGAGAGGUGGCAAGGUCAUCACCCCAGACCCCUUCAUCAACACAACAGGGAGCUGGAGAUGGUGAAAUCCAGAAGAUAAGGAGGGUCCUGACUUUAUUUUUUCUGGUGGAGGUGGAGAAAGCAGAGGAUGGAGAUUCCAAAAAUGGGGUGAAGUUCUGGUACACUGUACACCACGAGUCUGCAAGUGGGCAGCUGUAAUGUGGGCAGUUGUCAUUUGAGGUCAACUGCUGUCAACAAUGCAACGGGCCAGCAGAAAACAAGAAAGUCCUUGAAAGACGGAAAAUAAACCAACUCGAGCAUCUCAAAUAA